ACAACAUUUGCCAAGCGCCUACUAUGUGACCGAAGAGGACGUUUCGUGCUGAGCAGUGAUCCCCUCAGGGUGGAGCCGCAAAAGCAGGGACAGAGGGACCUUUGGGAGCAAUUUACAGUCACCUAUCACAGAGGACCGCACUCCUCUCCUUCUGAGGGCUGGCGUUCCAGCCCAGAGCUAAACAGAACGGACGUGGAGGAGGACAGUGUUCUCCAACAGGCCUGGCCCCCACCCAGCUGGGAUGGGGACACUGAGUCCGGUGAAGCAGCUUUCCCAUGCUUGUGCAGCCCAUCACACCAGCAAGGACCCCAAGCAAGGUCUUCUCUUUCUCCACCAGCCAGGACGGGCUUUUCCAGCCACCUUUCCCAACGACUAGCUGCGUAACCUAAAGAGCCUGAGGAAAAGAGAGGAGCUCCCUAUAAGAAGAAGGGUCUAGAACACAGGGUGGUGGAAGAGGGCGGUCAGAAUGAGCAGGUAUCUGUCCCUCUUCCUGGGUGGCCAUGAGUUCUGCCCACAUACGUCUGAUGGCCCACAUUUCAGGUAAAAACUCCUAUUAACCCAAAUAAGCUAUUUAUACAAUGAAGGGAUUGGAUGGGCUAAACUUCAAAUUCCAAGAACAACCCAGUGUCUCUAGAUCUCCUGAGGCUGAGAAACCACCUCUGCACACACACACAUGUGCCCACUCCCAUGUGUGCACAAUGGCUCACACACAUUUUCUUCCCGGAGCCCUGGUUAGAAGGAGCUGGUCUUUGUGGGAAGCCACGGACUUGGGCUCCAGGCUUGGGCACCUCUUGGCCACUUCCAUUAGGUUGAGAGAAGGACUGAGGCCCAGGGCCACUCUCUGGUCGGGUCUCUGCACCAUUCCAGUGGUGAGGUGGAGAGUGGGACCACGGAGGGUACAGCAGAGAGGAGGAGGGUGGGGACCUGCCCUGAGGCAUGGCAGGAGGCAGGGGUGUGGAGCCUUGGCUUUCCACACCCCAAGAAGCUCCCAAGAGAGCAAAAUGCCAGGCUCAGCCUGGGAAGAAGCUGGAAGACCAGCCAGUACCCAGGUCAUAUCUGCAUGGUUGGGCUAAAACCAGAAGCACUUGGGAGUGAUACUUACCAUUCUCUUCCCCCAGCUGUCUUGACCGAGGACCAAGCUGGGUGGCUCCUGAGGGUAGCAACAUUGACUCAUUAAGUGAGUCAUUCAUUCACCUAACAACCAUUCCUGAAGCAGAUCUACUGUAUCCUGCUUUGGGGGUGCUCAGAGCUUAUAUCCCAGUCUUCCCCCGAAUGUUUCUUGUACUCCGCAUUUCUCAGCAAGAUGGAGGAGGCCUUCUCGGGAAAUCUGAGCGUGAUGGGAGUGUGGCAAAUUCCAGCGGAGGGCGGGUUUGCAGCCUGGGAACUGAGAAGAGUCUCCUUUGCCUCCUGUGCUCCACACCUUGUCUCCAUCCUGUGCCUUCUCAAGCUGACGCCAGGCUUGGUUAGGAUGUCCACGCGUCGCGAAGCAGCACCCUCCAUCCCCAGCAACCACAGCACCAGGCAGAUCCACACAGACGCUUUGGCACAGGAGUCAUUAAACAGACCCCCUGUGUGGACAGAGCAAGAGAUUAAUUCUGGCUUGGAGAAGCGAGGGAAGCUUUGCGAAGGCAGGAAGACAUGAACUCGGCCUGAGAGACGUGUGGAGGGUUGAUGGAAGGCAAAGGCUGGCAGGCAGGGGCGAAGGGAGGCGGGAUUACGUUUUGUUACUUUCCUCAAAAAGUGACUUAGCGCCAGUCCCUUCCUUGUAAUUGCUGGAAAGAGCGUGGGUUUUGGAAUUCCAAAGAUGUGGCCACGAACUAAACAUUGUGACCUUCGGUAAAUCUCUUAACCACUGAGCUUCAGUGUUCUCGAUAGUAAAAUGGGGAUGGCCCCACCCACAAUAGCCAUCUCCCAGCCUCAUCUGAGCUUCAAGUCCGUCAUCCCCUAAAGCAACGGGCUGGGACUGACCUCGUGCACAGUAGGCAGUGACAACUCUGUCUCCUCCUGUUCCUUUUCCAAGCACCUUUAGACUACUUCAGGCGAUGGGGCUUCAGUGGGGAGCUAGGACAGCUGGGAACCAACAGGGAGAGGGCAGGACGGGAGAGGAGAGAGGAGGCCAAGUUGUUUUUCAUUUGCAGUUUCCAGGUCCGGCCAAAUAACAUCUUUAAAUACUAUUGACGUGACAAAGCCAAACUUCUUGGCUUAGGCUUGAAUUUUUUCUGUUCUUUUUUUAAAUCCAAAGUUGAAAAAUAUAUCUCCUUAGAACUCUGCCUGUCAGCCCGGUCCUUUCUGUCCAUGAGGGUCCGGCUUGGAGCUAGUCUCGUUUGCCAAGGUCAAGGAGUCUUUACCUGGGAUCCCGCAAUGCACACUUGGGGGAGGAAACUGAGCUGUGCAGGAGGGCCGGGCAUGGAGGCUUUCUCCUGCCGGAAGGCGAGCUUCCUAGAUUCCCUUUCCCAUCUCUCUCUCAAACUCCUGUUCCCCUUCCCACUCCCGUGUGUGAGCGCACGCCUCAUGUUCUGUGCCUGCCGUUGGGUCAUUCUUAAUGAGGAAGCCAUUCCACAUCUGUCUGCAGUAGGACUGCAAGAAUUAAGUGCAAUGGAGAAAUUAGGCCAUUAUUUCAGUUCUUUGGGUUUGAGACUCCUUCUACAUACCUGGAAUAACCAGGUCGUCAAGGUUCAGGUGGAUGGCCCAUCUUGCUCCAAUGACCCACGUCGUCACUUCCGUUUCCCUGCUCCUGUUGUGUGUCUAAGACAUAACAUUAAUAUCAUCCAGGUCAAAGAGCACAGAUAUGAAAUAAGCUGUGUAAACAUAGAGGUCCCCAGCCCAGUCUCUCCACAAGUGGCAUGUUUAGUCAUUUACUCAACAAAUAUUUUUCAAGCAAUAAAUGUUUAUUUUGCCAGACACCAUGCUGGGUGUUGGGGAUACAAUGAUGACUAAGCAAACAUGGUCCUUGUCUAGAUGGAUUGUACGUUCGGGAAAGGGAAAAAGAGAAAAACAAGUGAAUGAACAGAUAUGAUGAUUCGAAACAAUAGUAAAGGUCAAAAUGAGUCAAACUUUUUCUAUGCUUAUUGUCAGCGAUUUAGGGUGCUUGUCCACAAAAACAACUAACAUCUGUGUGUAAAAUCAAGUACCUGUGAUCGUAUCUAGUUGCCCAUGGAAUCACGCCUGUGGCCCUUUCCCAGGUCAAGGGCUCUCCCCACAGCUACAUGAAAUUAACAGAUUUGCUGGGCACACCUUGAUCAGCCAGAAGAAGCCCUGAGCCUAUGGCCUCUACUAUUUGAGUGACCUUGAGCAGGUCACUUUACAAUCUUUUUCUGAUCAAUAAAAUGGGCAAUAUCCCUACCCAACCAAGCCACAAGGUUCUUGGGAGGACCAAGGGGACAGUGCGGGGCACCUCUCUGCAGCUCUGGGGGCAGGAAGUGGUGUUGAUGAAGGAGCUCCACAAGGAAGUUUAGUAAA